GUCUUUUUGAAAUUAAUUUAAAGUCUGACCUGCCCACUGAGAAAUUAAAUGGCCGCAGUACUUUGACUGUGCAAAGGUAGCAUAAUCAUUAGUUUCUUAAUUAGAAACUGGAAUGAAAGGUUGGACGAGAAAAUAACUGUCUCUUUAUAAAUUUUUUAAAAUUUUAUUUUUAAGUUAAAAAGCUUAAAUGUAUUUAAAAGACGAGAAGACCCUAUAGAGUUUUAUAUAAUUUUUUUUUAUUCUUUAAUUAGAAAUUUUUAUAGUUAAUAUAAAAUUAUAUUUAGUUGGGGUGAUUGAAAAAUUUAAUAAACUUUUUUUUAAUUUCUAACAUUUAUUUAUGAAUUAAUGAUCCAUUUUUUAUGAUUAUAAGAUUAAAUUACCUUAGGGAUAACAGCGUAAUUUCUUUGUAGAGUUCAAAUCGUUAAAGAAGUUUGCGACCUCGAUGUUGGAUUAAAUUUUAAUUUUGGUGUAGAAGCUAAAAAUUUUAGGUCUGUUCGACCUUUAAAAAUUUACAUGAUCUGAGUUUAAACCGGUGUGAGCCAGGUUGGUUUCUAUCUUUAAAAAUUUUUUUAUAUUUUAGUACGAAAGGACCAAAUAUAAUAAAUAAUUUAUGAUUAUUGAAUAUUAAUAAGUGAUAA
rnacentral:rRNA from 1 species